CGUGAAACUAUGCAAUACAUCAAAUAACUGAAAUUCACAAAACAACAAACAGUGACGCAGAGGAGAAACAAACACUACUCACAAAUAUAUCACCCACAAAAACAGGUGGGACAGACAUCAGCUUAAAUAUGACCUCCAAUUAGAGACAACGACGACCAGCUGCCUCUAAUUGGAGAUCAUACCAAACAAAACCAACAUAGAAAUACAAAACUAGAAACUGAACAUAGAAAUACAAAACAUAGACAAACACCCCCUGUCACGUCCUGACCUACUCUACCAAAGAAAAUAACAACUUACUAUGGUCAGGAUGUGACAAUGAGAAACAUAAGAAAUAGCACAACAACAUUUCCAAUAACCUUUUUUUGUGGUAUAGCAACUUUGCUUAACUUUCUUCAUAAGGAAAAAAAAUGGCAGUUAAGAAUACAUUUCUGCUUAAAAAAGGUUUUGUGAAUCUGGGCCCAGAUUGGCUAGUAACGUCGUCCAGGAGAUUAGGCAAUAGCUUGAUAAAAGGAAAUCCAAUAGGCUAAAGUACAGGCAGGGAAUAGGCUAAAGUACAGGCAGGGAAUAGGCUAAAGUACAGGCAGGGAAUAUGCUAAAGUACAGGCAGGGAAUAUGCUAAAGUACAGGCAGGGAAUAUGCUAAAGGCAGGGAAUAUGCUAAAGUACAGGCAGGGAAUAUGCUAAAGUACAGGCAGGGAAUAUGCUAAAGUACAGGCAGGGAAUAGGCUAAAGUACAGGCAGGGAAUAGGCUAAAGGCAGGGAAUAGGCUAAAGGCAGGGAAUAGGCUAAAGUACAGGCAGGGAAUAUGCUAAAGUACAGGCAGGGAAUAGGCUAAAGGCAGGGAAUAGGCUAAAGUACAGGCAGGGAAUAUGCUAAAGGCAGGGAAUAGGCUAAAGUACAGGCCGGGAAUAUGCUAAAGUACAGGCAGGAUAUAUGCAAAAGUACAGGCAGGGAAUAUGCUAAAGGAAGGGAAUAGGCUAAAGUACAGGCAGGGAAUAUGCUAAAGGCAGGGAAUAGGCUAAAGUACAGGCAGGGAAUAGGCUAAAGUACAGGCAGGGAAUAGGCUAAAGUACAGGCAGGGAAUAGGCUAAAGUACAGGCAGGGAAUAUGCUAAAGUACAGGCAGGGAAUAUGCUAAAGUGCAGGCAGGGAAUAUGCAAAAGUGCAGGCAGGGAAUAGGCUAAAGGCAGGGAAUAGGCUAAAGGCAGGGAAUAGGCUAAAGUACAGGCAGGGAAUAGGCUAAAGUACAGGCAGGGAAUAGGCAAAAGGCGUUGUUAGUGAGGCAGGCAAAAACUAUCAUACACGGGAUAAUUAAAUUACGGGAAACCCAGCGCUCCGAAUAAAAGUGUGUCACAAAACAAACAAUACCUCACAAUGAUGGGUAGCAAAGAACUGAACUAUAUAGUGUGUGAUAAUGACAUACAGGUGUGUGAACAGGUGAUCAGAAUUCAGGUGAAUGGGAUCUGGAGAGUGAGCUGCGUUCAGGGGAUCUACGUGUUUGAG
rnacentral:lncRNA from 1 species